rnacentral:tRNA from 1 species
GCGUCGGUGGUUCAGCGGUAGAAUACUCGCCUGCCACGCGGGUGACGCGGGUUCGAUUCCCGGCCGACGCA